UGAAUACGAGACGCUAAGGCGUCGAAGUAGUGUAUGUCAUACUUCCAAGAAAAGCUUGCACUGUCAUAGAUAAAAAACGCCUGUACCAUAACCGACACAGGUGGGUAGGUAGAAUAUACUAAGGGGCGCGAGAUAACUCUCUCUAAGGAACUCGGCAAAAUAACUCCGUAACUUCGGGAGAAGGAGUGCCUUAUUAUUAAGGCUGCAAUAACAAGAUCCAAGCAACUGUUUAUCAAAAACACAGGCCUCCGCUAAGUCGUAAGACGAUGUAUGGGGGCUGACGCCUGCCCUGUGCCAGAAGGUUAAAGAAGUUGGUUAGCAUUUGCGAAGCUGAUAACUGAAGCCCUGGUGAACGGCGGCCGUAACUAUAACGGUCCUAAGGUAGCGAAAUUCCUUGUCGGGUAAGUUCCGACCCGCACGAAAGGCGUAAUGAUUUGGAUACUGUCUCGGAGAGGGGCUCGGUGAAAUAGACUUGUCUGUGAAGAUGCGGACUACCUGCACCAGGACAGAAAGACCCUAUGAAGCUUUACUGUAACUUGAAAUUGAAAUUGGACUUUAUUCGCGCAGCAUAGGUGGGAGGCGUUGAUUAUAAUCUUGUGGGAUUAUUGGAGCCAUCAGUGAGAUACCACUCUUGUAAUGUUAGAUUUCUAACUUUGAAUCAUUAUCUGGUCAAAGAACAGUUUCAGGCGGGCAGUUUGACUGGGGCGGUCGCCUCCUAAACGGUAACGGAGGCGUACAAAGGUUUCCUCUGAACGGUUAGAAAUCGUAUCUAGAGUGUAAAGGCAUAAGGAAGCUUGACUGUGAGACCUACAAGUCGAGCAGGGACGAAAGUCGGUCUUAGUGAUCUGACGGUACUGAGUGGAAAGGCCGUCACUCAACGGAUAAAAGUUACUCUAAGGAUAACAGGCUGAUCUCCCCCAAGAGUUCACAUCGACGGGGAGGUUUGGCACCUCGAUGUCGGCUCAUCGCAUCCUGGGGCGGUAGUACGUCCCAAGGGUUGGGCUGUUCGCCCAUGAAAGCGGUACGCGAGCUGGGUUCAGAACGUCGUGAGACAGUUCGGUCCAUAUCCGGUGUAGGCGUUAGAAUAUUGAGAGGAGCCUUCUUUAGUACGAGAGGACCGAGAAGGACAUACCUCUGGUGUACCAGUUAUCGUGCCAACGGUAAACGCUGGGUAGCUAUGUAUGGAGUGGAUAACCGCUGAAAGCAUCUAAGUGGGAAGCCCACCUCAAGAUAAGUAUUCUCAU
rnacentral:rRNA from 1 species